rnacentral:rRNA from 1 species
UACGUAGGGGGCAAGCGUUGUCCGGAUUUAUUGGGCGUAAAGAGCGUGUAGGCGGCCUGGAAGGUCAGCUGUGAAAACUCGAGGCUCAACCUCGAGACGUCGGUUGAAACCACCUGGCUAGAGUCCGGAAGAGGAGAGUGGAAUUCCCGGUGUAGCGGUGAAAUGCGCAGAUAUCGGGAAGAACACCCGUGGCGAAGGCGGCUCUCUGGGACGGUACUGACGCUGAGACGCGAAAGCGUGGGGAGCGAACAGGA